AUUUGUUUGGAGGUAUUAGUUUUCUAUGAAUGUACAACUGUUUGCUUUGUGCUUUAUUUAGACUUCUAAUUUAUAUCGAUAUUUAUGACAUGUGUUUACCUGUUUUGUAAGUCAAUCAAAAAGUUUGACUAGCAACUAAUGGUGCCUAUACAUGUAUUUAUGGAGCUUCUUCUGGUCAUAUGUGUAGUGGAUCUCUCCUCCUGUUGUUCCCUUCAAUCAUGUCCAAGGUCAAGAACCAUUCAGGUCAUAAACCCCUACGACAGGGGCCACGAGGGCUCAUCUUCGCCACUGCCCCUACUCCCACCUUCUGCAUGUCCUGCUCGGUGCUGUUCCAUUCCCUAGCGAUGUUCUCCGGCUAAAGACGCUUGGAGUUUGUGGUGUGGUGACACUUAAUGAAUCAUACGAGAGGCUUGUUCCCACAUCCCUAUACGAGGAUAAAAGAAGUAGGCGCAAUGAGGAGUCAUGUUCAUUCACAAGCUCUAACAGAGAAAGUUGGGGCAGAUGUUCAUCUUUAGGUGCAGCCAGUGAUGAAUUAUUCUCAGGCGAUAAUAAUGAUAAGCAGAUAUGAGCCCUUGGGCCUCCAGUUCGGGCAACAAGCAUAUGGCAAAGAGAGUGAGGGGGCAUGAUAUUGUUUUCCAAUUCCAAGAUCUAAGGAGCAAAGACUAUUAAUUAUCAUAAACAAGAUUUCUAAUUGGUGAAAGCUUUUUAUAUAUAGCAGACUGUGAUGAUGUGUAGAGGCAAAGGAUCCUUCAGAGUUCAUCACUCAUCGAGCCAAAGAUUUUGUGUCAAGCAUGAAGGACAUUGAAACCCGGUUUAUGUGUAUAGUUGAAGCAGGAAAUAAGGUUUCUAGAAUGCUUGAAACCAAGAAGAUCUUGCUUGACAUAUGUGCUAAAAUACCAGGAUUCUAGGUUCUCCAGUUAAGCUACCUACUGCCCGAUUGUGUCAGCACUUCAAGUGUGCUGCAAUUGUGAUGUUAUUCUCAACCAUGGUAACCAGGGUAUUCUCAUUAUUCUCUUCGCAAUCAUAAUGUUUUCCUGAAGUACUAAUUUUAAAUGUCUUUGUAGAAACUGUGACCCUCCAUAGUUAAGGGAUUGCACUUUCUUAAAUAUUUGUAAGCACUUACUGUUUUGAUUAUGCACUUAGACUCUCUGUUUUGAAUGCGAUAUUUCUUCCUUGAACAAAAAAGGUGCACUUUUGUUGUAAAUUUCAGUUCUUGGUGUUUGUUUAGACACAUUUUUUUGUUUUAAGAACUUCUGUUAAAAGUUUCUAUGAUCUA